rnacentral:rRNA from 1 species
UUAAUGUUCUUCGUGAACAUAGCGAACUGCUCAGUAACACGUGGAUAACCUACCCUUAGGACCGGAAUAACCCCGGGAAACUGGGGAUAAUACCGGAUAAGCCAUAGACGCUGGAAUGCCCUAUGGUUCAAAGCUCCGGCGCCUAAGGAUGGAUCUGCGGUCUAUCAGGUUGUAGUGGGUGUAACGUACCUACUAGCCGACGACGGAUACGGGUUGUGAGAGCAAGAGCCCGGAGAUGGAUUCUGAGACACGAAUCCAGGCCCUACGGGGUGCAGCAGGCGCGAACACUUUACAAUGCGGGAAACCGCGAUAAGGGAACCCCGAGUGCCAGCAUCAAAUGUUGGCUGUCCAGAUGAUUAAAAAUCAUUUGUUAGCAAGGGCCGGGCAAGACCGGUGCCAGCCGCCGCGGUAACACCGGCGGCCCGAGUGGUAGCCGUUUUUAUUGGGUCUAAAGGGUCCGUAGCCGGCUUGAUAAGUCCUUUGGGAAAUCUGGCAGCUUAACUGUCAGGCUUCUAAGGGAUACUGUCAGGCUUGGGACCGGAAGAGGUAAGGGGUACUCCAGGGGUAGGAGUGAAAUCUUGUAAUCCCUGGGGGACCAUCUGUGGCGAANGCGCCUUACCAGAACGGGUCCGACGGUGAGGGACGAAAGCUAGGGGAGCAAACCGGGAUU